rnacentral:lncRNA from 1 species
UAGAGACGGGGUUUCACCAUGUUAGCCAGGAUGGUCUCGAUCUCCUGACUUCGAGAUCCACCCACCUCGGCCUCCCAAAGUGCUGGGAUUACAGGCAUGAGCCACCACACCCGGCGACUCAUUCUUAUACAACUACCUUUGUCAGCAUUCUUGCCAUUGGACUGUCUAGCCCUUGAUGCUGUUAUAUCAUGGCUUGUUGAUACAGAAGAUGCUACAUGAACUCAAGUGGAACUCUGACUGCCUUGAGAGCAUCCCACCAUCCAUUGCUGCUGCAUCAAGGUAUUAAAAAGAGAGACAGAAGGAAGAGGUGAGAGAAGCACAAGUUUAACAGUGUGAGGGCAUUUUGCUUAAUAAUAAGACAUUUCAUUAAAAUAUUAGCUACUUUUGGAAUGUUUGUCAAAUGUCUUCUUUGGGCACCUCACAGGGCCAGGCACAAGGGGAAGGGGUAUUUGCAGCUGACUUCAAUCCAAAGCUGAAUGUGGAUGUUGGCACCUGCUGCUCCCUCUCUCCAGACAUCUCCCUGUAUCUUUGCUUAUUUGGUUUCAUAUUUAUUGACCAUCAACCACCCCCCAUCCCUGUAGAACGAGAAGCUCAUGAGAACAGGGGUCUUGUUCUCUAGCUUUUGUUUCUCCACCGAGAAGAGUGCCUGGAAACAGAGUCAAUGCUCAAUAAACAUUUAUGGAACAAGGGUGCAGUCCAGGGCUGGGCACAGAGGAGGAUUGGGUACAAGGAUGAAGAGGGAACUGAAACAACUGUUGAAGGCCCAAUCCCACGAACCAG